rnacentral:rRNA from 1 species
GAAUCGCUAGUAAUCGCGGAUCAGCAUGCCGCGGUGAAUACGUUCCCGGGCCUUGUACACACCGCCCGUCACGCCAUGAGAGUUUGUAACACCCAAAGCCGGUGAGAUAACCUUCGGGAGUCAGCCGUCUAAGGUGGGACAGAUGAUUAGGGUGAAGUCGUAACAAGGUAGCCGUAGGAGAACCUGCGGCUGGAUCACCUCCUUU